AAGUCGUAACAAGGUUUCCGUAGGUGAACCUGCGGAAGGAUCAUUAUUGAAUACGAUUGGUACUGAUGCUGGCUCUUCACUGAGCAUGUGCUCGUCCAUCUAUUUAUCUUCUCUUGUGCACAUUUUGUAGUCUUGAACGAACCUCUCGCAGUCAAUGCGGUUUGGGAGCUUGGGCGCGAGCCCUUCUCCUGCUUCUUCAAGGCUAUGUUUUCAUAUACACUAUAAAGUUACAGAAUGUCUCUUAACGAUUGCGCUUGUCGUAGUCAUUAAACCUAUACAACUUUCAGCAACGGAUCUCUUGGCUCUCC
rnacentral:misc_RNA from 1 species